AUUGAACGCUGGCGGCAGGCUUAACACAUGCAAGUCGAGCGGAGAUGAGGUGCUUGCACCUUAUCUUAGCGGCGGACGGGUGAGUAAUGCUUAGGAAUCUGGCUAUUAGUGGGGGACAACAUUCCGAAAGGAAUGCUAAUACCGCAUACGUCCUACGGGAGAAAGCAGGGGAUCUUCGGACCUUGCGCUAAUAGAUGAGCCUAAGUCGGAUUAGCUAGUUGGUGGGGUAAAGGCCUACCAAGGCGACGAUCUGUAGCGGGUCUGAGAGGAUGAUCCGCCACACUGGGACUGAGACACGGCCCAGACUCCUACGGGAGGAAGCAGUGGGGAAUAUUGGACAAUGGGGGGAACCCUGAUCCAGCCAUGCCGCGUGUGUGAAGAAGGCCUUAUGGUUGUAAGGCACUUUAAGCGAGGAGGAGGCUACUGAGACUAAUACUCUUGGAUAGUGGACGUUACUCGCAGAAUAAGCACCGGCUAACUCUGUGCCAGCCGCCGCAGUAAAAC
rnacentral:rRNA from 1 species